rnacentral:rRNA from 1 species
AGCGACAGGCUUAACACAUGCAAGUCGAGGGGCUGCACAGGUAGCAAUACCGGGUGGCGACCGGCGCACGGGUGAGUAACGCGUAUGCAACUUGCCUAUCAGAGGGGGAUAACCCGGCGAAAGUCGGACUAAUACCGCAUGAAGCAGGGAUCCCGCAUGGGAAUAUUUGCUAAAGAUUCAUCGCUGAUAGAUAGGCAUGCGUUCCAUUAGGCAGUUGGCGGGGUAACGGCCCACCAAACCGACGAUGGAUAGGGGUUCUGAGAGGAAGGUCCCCCACAUUGGUACUGAGACACGGACCAAACUCCUACGGGAGGCAGCAGUGAGGAAUAUUGGUCAAUGGCCGAGAGGCUGAACCAGCCAAGUCGCGUGAGGGAUGAAGGUUCUAUGGAUCGUAAACCUCUUUUAUAAGGGAAUAAAGUGCGGGACGUGUCCCGUUUUGUAUGUACCUUAUGAAUAAGGAUCGGCUAACUCCGUGCCAGCAGCCGCGGUAAUACGGAGGAUCCGAGCGUUAUCCGGAUUUAUUGGGUUUAAAGGGUGCGUAGGCGGCCUUUUAAGUCAGCGGUGAAAGUCUGUGGCUCAACCAUAGAAUUGCCGUUGAAACUGGGGGGCUUGAGUAUGUUUGAGGCAGGCGGAAUGCGUGGUGUAGCGGUGAAAUGCUUAGAUAUCACGCAGAACCCCGAUUGCGAAGGCAGCCUGCCAAGCCAUUACUGACGCUGAUGCACGAAAGCGUGGGGAUCAAACAGGAUUAGAUACCCUGGUAGUCCACGCAGUAAACGAUGAUCACUAGCUGUUUGCGAUACAUUGUAAGCGGCACAGCGAAAGCGUUAAGUGAUCCACCUGGGGAGUACGCCGGCAACGGUGAAACUCAAAGGAAUUGACGGGGGCCCGCACAAGCGGAGGAACAUGUGGUUUAAUUCGAUGAUACGCGAGGAACCUUACCCGGGUUUGAACGCAUUCGGACCGAGGUGGAAACACCUUUUCUAGCAAUAGCCGUUUGCGAGGUGCUGCAUGGUUGUCGUCAGCUCGUGCCGUGAGGUGUCGGCUUAAGUGCCAUAACGAGCGCAACCCUUGCCACUAGUUACUAACAGGUAAAGCUGAGGACUCUGGUGGGACUGCCAGCGUAAGCUGCGAGGAAGGCGGGGAUGACGUCAAAUCAGCACGGCCCUUACAUCCGGGGCGACACACGUGUUACAAUGGCGUGGACAAAGGGAGGCCACCUGGCGACAGGGAGCGAAUCCCCAAACCACGUCUCAGUUCGGAUCGGAGUCUGCAACCCGACUCCGUGAAGCUGGAUUCGCUAGUAAUCGCGCAUCAGCCAUGGCGCGGUGAAUACGUUCCCGGGCCUUGUACACACCGCCCGUCAAGCCAUGGGAGCCGGGGGUACCUGAAGUCCGUAACCGCGAGGAUCGGCCUAGGGUAAAACUGGUA